rnacentral:rRNA from 1 species
GUUGAGAAGACGUCCGAACUUGAUCAUUUUGAGGAAGUAAAAGUAGUAACAAGGUUUCCGUAGGUGAACCUGCGGAAGGAUCAUUA